rnacentral:rRNA from 1 species
GAGUUUGAUCAUGGCUCAGAACGAACGCUGGCGGCAUGCCUAACACAUGCAAGUCGAACGAGACCUUCGGGUCUAGUGGCGCACGGGUGCGUAACGCGUGGGAAUCUGCCCUUGGGUUCGGAAUAACAGUUAGAAAUGACUGCUAAUACCGGAUGAUGACUUCGGUCCAAAGAUUUAUCGCCCAAGGAUGAGCCCGCGUAGGAUUAGCUUGUUGGUGAGGUAAAAGCUCACCAAGGCGACGAUCCUUAGCUGGUCUGAGAGGAUGAUCAGCCACACUGGGACUGAGACACGGCCCAGACUCCUACGGGAGGCAGCAGUGGGGAAUAUUGGACAAUGGGCGAAAGCCUGAUCCAGCAAUGCCGCGUGAGUGAUGAAGGCCUUAGGGUUGUAAAGCUCUUUUACCCGGGAUGAUAAUGACAGUACCGGGAGAAUAAGCCCCGGCUAACUCCGUGCCAGCAGCCGCCGCUGUAAU